UGGGGAAUAUUGCACAAUGGGCGCAAGCCUGAUGCAGCCAUGCCGCGUGUAUGAAGAAGGCCUUCGGGUUGUAAAGUACUUUCAGCGGGGAGGAAGGGAGUAAAGUUAAUACCUUUGCUCAUUGACGUUACCCGCAGAAGAAGCACCGGCUAACUCCGUGCCAGCAGCCGCGGUAAUACGGAGGGUGCAAGCGUUAAUCGGAAUUACUGGGCGUAAAGCGCACGCAGGCGGUUUGUUAAGUCAGAUGUGAAAUCCCCGGGCUCAACCUGGGAACUGUAUCUGAUACUGGCAAGCUUGAGUCUCGUAGAGGGGGGUAGAAUUCCAGGUGUAGCGGUGAAAUGCGUAGAGAUCUGGAGGAAUACCGGUGGCGAAGGCGGCCCCCUGGACGAAGACUGACGCUCAGGUGCGAAAGCGUGGGGAGCAAACAGG
rnacentral:rRNA from 1 species